UACAGAGGUCCCGAGCGUUGUUCGGAUUCACUGGGCGUAAAGGGUGCGUAGGUGGUGAGGUAAGUCGGAUGUGAAAUCUCCGGGCUCAACCCGGAAAUGGCAUUGGAAACUACCUUGCUGGAGGAUUUGAGGGGGGAUUGGAAGUACUUGGUGUAGCAGUGAAAUGCGUAGAUAUCAAGUGGAACACCAGUGGCGAAGGCGAAUCCCUGGAAAAUACCUGACACUGAGGCACGAAAGCUAGGGGAGCAAACAGG
rnacentral:rRNA from 1 species